GGCUCAGAACGAACGCUGGCGGCAGGCUUAACACAUGCAAGUCGAGCGCCCCGCAAGGGGAGCGGCAGACGGGUGAGUAACGCGUGGGAAUCUACCCUUUUCUACGGAAUAACGCAGGGAAACUUGUGCUAAUACCGUAUGAGCCCUUCGGGGGAAAGAUUUAUCGGGAAAGGAUGAGCCCGCGUUGGAUUAGCUAGUUGGUGGGGUAAAGGCCUACCAAGGCGACGAUCCAUAGCUGGUCUGAGAGGAUGAUCAGCCACAUUGGGACUGAGACACGGCCCAAACUCCUACGGGAGGCAGCAGUGGGGAAUAUUGGACAAUGGGCGCAAGCCUGAUCCAGCCAUGCCGCGUGAGUGAUGAAGGCCCUAGGGUUGUAAAGCUCUUUCACCG
rnacentral:rRNA from 1 species